rnacentral:misc_RNA from 1 species
UUUCCGUAGGUGAACCUGCGGAAGGAUCAUUAACGAGUUAGGGUCUUUUAGGCCUGACCUCCCAACCCUAUGUUUAUUGAACCUCUGUUGCUUCGGCGGACCCGUCUCACGGCCGCCGGAGGACCGCUGCCAGGCGUCCUCUGGCCAGCGUCCGCCGAUGGCCAACCCACUAAACUCUGAAUGAGUCGUGUCAUAUGUCUAAGUCUAUGAUUAAAUUAAAGCAAAACUUUCAACAACGGAUCUCUUGGUUCUG